rnacentral:rRNA from 1 species
AGAGUUUGAUCCUGGCUCAGAUUGAACGCUGGCGGCACGCCUAACACAUGCAAGUCGAGCGGUAGCAUGGUUAGUAGCAAUACUAACUGAUGACAAGCGGCGGACGGGUGAGGAACACGUAGGAAUCUACCCUCAAGCGGGGGACAACCAAGGGAAACUUUGGCUAAUACCGCAUAAUCUCGAGAGAGUAAAGCUACCCGCAAGGGCGGCACUUGAGGAGGAGCCUGCGUCCGAUUAGCUAGUUGGUAGGGUAAAAGCCUACCAAGGCAAUGAUCGGUAACUGGUCUGAGAGGACGACCAGUCACACUGGGACUGAGACACGGCCCAGACUCCUACGGGAGGCAGCAGUGGGGAAUAUUGGACAAUGGGGGCAACCCUGAUCCAGCGAUGCCGCGUGAGUGAAGAAGGCCUUCGGGUCGUAAAGCUCUUUAGGUUGGGAAGAAGCGUAUUGGGUUAAUAGCCGAGUACGUUGACGGUACCGACAGAAUAAGCACCGGCAAACUCUGUGCCAGCAGCCGCGGUAAUACAGAGGGUGCGAGCGUUAAUCGGAUUUACUGGGCGUAAAGGGCGCGUAGGCGGUUGGAUGUGUGUGAUGUGAAAGCCCCGGGCUUAACCUGGGAAGUGCAUCGCAAACUAUCUAGCUAGAGUAUAUGAGAGGGUGGCGGAAUUUCCGGUGUAGCGGUGAAAUGCGUAGAGAUCGGAAGGAACGUCAAUGGCGAAGGCAGCCACCUGGCAUAAUACUGACGCUGAGGCGCGAAAGCGUGGGGAGCGAACAGGAUUAGAUACCCUAGUAGUCC